GAAAGAAGAAAAAGAAAAAGAAAAGGAAAAAAACUACGAAGUAAAGCUGGCACGAUAUGAAUCUGCCUCAGCAUGUUUCACGUCUACUACUAAGCAAGCGCGUGCUUUUUCUGUCCGCCACUUUUGCUCCUGAUUGGU
rnacentral:ribozyme from 1 species